UGGCGGAAUAGCUCAGUUGGCUAGAGCAUUCGGUUCAUACCCGAAGUGUCGUAGGUUCAAGUCCUAUUUCCGCUACCAG
rnacentral:tRNA from 1 species